rnacentral:sRNA from 1 species
AGACCCAAACCGUUGUUGUAGAAAACCCCAUGUCCGUUGAUGAAAGCGGAAAGUUGGUGAGUAUUUCU